GGGGGGGUGGGAGACGAGAACGAAGCUCAGAAUGGCAGUGAGAGCAGUAGUACUUCAGACACCACGACCGCUACAUCUUUCUAGUCUCCACGACCUCUCGAGUCUACGCAGCCCAGUGGCCGUGUGUGUCUUGGCGUUGGGCGUGACGUGCAGCAACGGUGGAGUUGACGAUCCAAAGGCCUGACUCCACAGCGGUAAUGAGCCUUGUGUACCUUGCACUGUCUUCACUGACAACGCCCACUACUAACCCCUCUGCCUCCGCCACCGUUUCAAGAUCAGGGAAGGACUCUGCCUUGCAUCGCGCACUGUGAUGGUCGCCGCCCCCGCCCCCGCCCCCGCCGCCGCCGCUGCUGCUGCUGCUGCUGCUGCUGCUAAGGGAGAAUAGUUUGUUGAGUGGAUGACGGCGUGUUCACUGACCCUCUCCCAUCACCCUACCAACUCCGGCCACCCACCCCCCUGCCACCAGACACCUGCUACACCACCACUACCGCCGGCUCCGUCCAGUGAAAGAUUCAUCGCAGACCUGCCAUUCAACGCCUGCCGCCGCCGCCACCACCACCACCACCUCCUUAUGGUGGUGUCACUGUACCUGGAGCUGUUGUCAUGAUUGAAUAAUAAAUUGUGAAGAAAU